CUGGGUGGUUUCCCUUUCAUUCUUGCAAAGGAUGUCCUUUCGGUCAUGGUUCUCUCUUGUUCGUGUUUGGUUCAAACCUUAUUCAGGUUAAUCAUACAGUGAUCUAAGAUGGCAGGAGGUGUCUUUUACAUAGGAAAGCAUCAGUUUCAUUAACUGGACACAAGAUGUAUUAUAUGGCUGACAUUAAGCAGUGCUUCAUUAGUGCCUCACCGGGUGUUCCGGGACAAAUGCUUAAAAGGUCAAAACUGCCAUACUUUCAUGGUUUGCAAUCGGACGCUGAUGUGCUCUCCUUCUUGGCUGGUAGUUCUUCUCAUUGGUUGUACACAAAGACACAUAUAGAUGGCC